ensembl:lncRNA
GCUCUCUCUCUCGCUGUCUGGCAGUGUGUCGGUGUGCUCCCCAGCUAUGCACCUUCAGUUCAAAAAAAACUUCCUCACAUCAGGCUUUUCAUUUUGCUGAGUUUCAUCCAAGUCCCAGAAGUGGCAGAAGUGGUUGAUACAAGAGAAACAUGGAUUACUAGGGAAAGAGGGAAAUGAAUGAAUGACAUGAACAUAAUUUGUCUCAGGGAACUGUUUGGUCAUGGCCUGAACCAGAAUUGAGCACCUGGAGAAUGGCUGUAGCCAGCCCUGGGAGCACAAGUAGAAGCAAUUCAUCUGUAAUGGGAAGAAGUGGAAUCCUUGGAAAAGAAUAGUGUCCUGAAAUCAAUUACAUCGGCCAGAAGACACAAGUGGAUCCACAUGCUAAACAAUGGGAUAAAACAAUCUCAGACAGUUUCUCUCAUCUUCAGCAUGGCAGAACAAGGCUUCAACAAAAAAGGAAUUUGCUCGUGCGAUCAGUUCAAGUUCAGUUUGUGCUUUGGAUUUGUGCAAAUUGGAGAUAGAUUAGAACCAGAUUUUCCUUGAAACUAUCUAACAUUCAGGCUUUAUGUCAAUCCCCACAGCAUUUUCACUACCAGAAAGCUAUGCACUGAUAUAUAUAUUUUUUCUACACUUACUCAUAGCACAUUGAUUACUGAAGUUCACUACUUCAGAAAACACUGUCUGGCAUAAUCAAAUCAGUUAGAAGCCAUGGGGACUAAACGUCUGAUGAUAUUACCAGGAUCACUACAGAAAUUAAACAAUACUGUGGAAUGUUAAAUGCUUCUGUUAGCACUAAUAGGGAGAACAAAAUAAAAAUAAAUAAAUAAAUAGUGAUAUUUCCUUGUAUUCUCUCCAAAUUUCUGAUUUCAGAAUAGACAUAUGGUUUAUGUAUGAUUAAGAACCUUCCUCAGUCCUUCUGAUCUUUGUAAAAUUUCUAACCUAUAAUCCUUCAGGCUGUCAGUAACUCUCUUAGUCAAAAUAUUAUUGAAAUAUUUCACAUCAUCCUUAGUUAUUUUAGUUUCAUCAUUAAAAUAACAGUGCAAUUUAUGUGAUCAUGUAAAUGGAGAAUGUAAAAUGAGUCAGAAAGAGAAUAAGAUUUAUAGAGCAUUCAUUACUGACGUAAUGAUGAGGUCCAAGUGAUAAAACAGUUCAGUAAACUUUAAGUUUUAUUCAGAAUUAUAUCGUGCCUGUUGUUUAUGACCAAGAUGAUCAUUGUAUCUCUGGGUAUAGAAAAGGGUUAAUGCUAUGAAAGGAUGUAAUGUAGACCUAGGAACAAUCAAAGCUGGAUUUGAAGACUUUGAAAAUACAAGUUAUCAUCAGACUUGAUCCACAUUAGGCACUGAGUCUAAGCUACCCAACUAUCUAGAAAAUCUAAAGACAGACCUUGACCUACAGAGACAGUCUGUGGUAACGGUAUGAUCCUAAAUAAUAGUCCAGACAGCUAACUUCAGUCAGCUAAGAUUAGGUAAGAUUAAUCUCUCACCUUAUGCCAAAGGAAAAUAAUUUUGUAUAAUAAAUGUUAUAUCUAGUGUCAUUUAAUCCAAUUUAAUGAUGUCUAAUUCAGUCUUUUUGUAUUCACAUUGAUUUCUCUCUAUUUACCAUGUUAAUAUCUAAUUUCUUAUUUAUUUAGAAAGAUAUGGAUGAAAAAACAGCCACAGCACAACAUAUAGGUUCCCCAAUAAAACAAUAUUUGAUUUGUCU